UGUCUUACGGCAUAGGUGGCCUCUCAGAGUCUCAGCAAGGUCACUCUUUUCCAUAUGUAAUAAUGAGCCAUUGUUCUAUUCAUCAUGACCUCAUAGAGCCUUUUCUUUUUCUCAGGUCUCAUUUACUUCCUCUUUUUUUUUUCCUUUUCCUUUUCCUAUACCUUCCUUUGGUCCUUAUAAGUAUCCAAAUUGCCCUAAAAUAACUUCUGCACAUGCAGCAUUAGGAAGCAGUGUUUCCCAACCACUACAUUUGAAUGAUUCAUUCCUCUGAGGACCCUCAAGUACUUCAGAAGAACUAAAAAAUGAAUAUCACGUUACACCAAAGAAGAAAUGAAAGCUGCCAGUGUCUUCUGAAGUUAAACAGGCUCCUGUUCUUUGACCCAGCAAUCCAAUCCUAGGUAUUUAAUUGUUCCCUGAGGUUUAAGGCAGUGGACUGAGGAUAAUACAGGCUCCAGCUUUCAUUAGUUCAAUGGAUGAUGCUGUUCAAUCCAUACUGUUUGGGGCAUUUGUUGAAAAUGUCAUUCAGAAGAUAUCAACACUUUCUGAGUCAUGGUUUGAUUGAAUUUAUAGAAUUAUGUGAUAGAAACCACAUUCUUCACAAAAGUCACAAGGCAAUAAUGACGACAAGGGUUGAAGAUGAAAGAUGCCAAAUAUUCUGAUCAAUUCAAUAAGGCAAAAAGACAAGUUAAUUCACUCAGUGCUCCAGGCAUCAACUUCAUAGAAGGAAUGGAAAUUCUACCUGUUUCCUAAAGAACUACAGAGGACUCCAACUAAGCCACUAUGCUGGGAGCAGAGAUGGGGAAGAAUUGCUGAGUCAUGAUAAGAGAAGGCACUAUAGGAAGAAACAGUGAACUCUUAACAGCUGGGCAAGCAAUGAGUCAGCCUGGGUGGUCACUCCAGAUGCUCCCGGACACAUCCCAAUUUCUAGGAUGCCUUGCUGAUAUGUACUUCUCAAGGAAAAAAAAUGGUCACUAUAUAUAUUAAACUGACAGAGGAAAAGUGGAAAUAACAUAUGUCUUAGAUCUCCAUUUUGGCGAAGACAGGCUUCAGCUGUAAAGAAUCGAAGAAUAAAAUGAGACCAACAAAGUGAAAUCAUUUCUGAACCCAGUAACUAUUACUGCAGCACUGAUCUGCUGAACCGGCAGAGGAGUCCAAAAGAAAAAUCUACUCAUCCCAAAUGAGCAUUUACUCUCAAUAUGAUGUGUUUCACUAGCUCCUUUCCUCUAAAGCACUUUUUUUCCCUUGCAUUGUUUUUUUUUCUAAUUAUAUGUGUGGCUUUAGACAAAUUAUUCCAAUUCUCUGCACUUCGAGUUUAUCAAAUAAAAAUCAAGAAUAAUCUCUAGCUCAUAGUGUGUAGAGACUGAGUUUGAUUCUGUAUGAAGUGCCCAGCGCAGGCCUGGCCAUCUAGUGAGAGAACAGUAAAUGGUCUACUUGGGAGAACUCCUCAGUUAGAACUUUAAUGAUUAGGUAGCUAAUGAUCUGUAAUACCCUCCUUAGCACCUGUUAAUCUCACUUUAAUAAGGAGAGUAUGUCCGGCCUUUUACAAGAAGCCACAGAUACUCCAGCCAGCAAGGUUGGAGGCAAGGCUGGAUCUGGACCAAAGAGGCUGGUCAGCAAGUGCUUGGGAGCCAAGUCCUGAAAACAUUCAUCAGAAACGUUUCCUGCAUCUUCAGUGGCCUGUAGACUGGGCAGCAGGCAACUCUCUAAAUUUUACUGCAGUCAGAAGUUCAGGAUGGGAACCUGCUCAGAAAGGGUGGGGCGCAGCAUUUCAGGGGUUAUGGUCAUCUCCAGGAGAGUGGAGUAGGUUGUGAAGAGGCGAGUACUUCUACAGAAUCUCUAAAGCCAUCAUUUUGACAUAGGAAAUAUAGAGGGUAAGGGAUUGAGAUGAAAAAUGAAACUACUCUUUCAAGUGUGUUUCCUCCACACUUCUCUCUUAUCCUCCCUUUGUCUACGCUCUUCCAUGGGUGGUAUUUUAAAAGAUGCCUUUUCUAGUAGAAGUUUUGUAAUACUUUAAAAAUGCUCAGAGGCAUUUUUCCAAUUUGGAGUCAAUAUACUUUGUAUACUGAUGAGAUACUGCAGUUAAGUAAUUAGCUGUCUGCAACUAGUUAAUUAAGAGAUACUGCAGUACCUUGGCCUCAGGCAUUAAGCAAGUCUAGCUGAUAAGCUGGAAAUUGGCAAAUAGGAGGAUUGACAAGACACAAGAGCAUAAUGCGACACUCAGUCGCAUUUGACAAAAAAAAAAAUUUGUUUUUCCAGUGGGUAAAUGAGUGAGUGCCACCUAAAGUCAUACAGGUGGGUCUUUUAAUAAACCCAAAUAUUGUCAGGAAAGCGGAGACUUCCAACUGUUGGAAAAUGUCGCAGUAAACAGAAUUCUUCCUGAAUUUCAUUCUAUUUUCAUUUUCCUAUCACCCCAGUCCUGAAAUUACUGAAUUCAAGGGGAGAGUUAAGACUGAGAAACCCUUGAGGUUGCCACCUGGCAGGGUCACAACCAGCAGAGACCUCGUGUGGACUUUUAAAGGGCAGCUUUUCCUCUAGCCAGACCCUUGCCCUUGCUCCAGCAUCCAGCUUGCUGAGUAGGACCUGAACAGGACUCCACCUACACUUACCCUUUGGGAAUUCACGCUCAACCUGCGCAACCGUAGGCAGGACCCCCACCUCCCACCCACCCAGAUCAAAGGAAGACUUGACUUUGGAGAGUAAAUCCUCUCGGAGAAGAGAUCAGAUCAUUUCUCCCUACCUUGGAAGGAAAGGAACAUUUCCAAGUGAAAGGUCUUGUCUGCUACUCACCUACAGCGCAAGUCCCACGGUGCCUUGAGUGUUUGCGAGUGUCUCCUCACACCCAGAAAUGCCCCACUAAGGGACAUCUGUGUUUCUUGGAGCUAAGAAUUACCUAUUGGUGAGUGGAGUAGGAAAUAGAGGAAUAGUAUCAGAAUCUGGGCGGGCCUUCCACAUGCCCACCUGAAGACCCUGAUGUGUGACCACGCCCCCUUAGGAGCAUGCCCUCUCCCACUCCUGGCUCCCAUCGCUUGCAAAUUCUUAUGUAAUGAGAAAAUGCUGAAAGAGUAUACACAUGUGAAGAGGAUCAAAGCAGAAAACAAACUGGGAAAUUACAGAUUCCUCCUUAAGUCAAAGCACUAGACUAUUUGAAUGGUAUCUCUCUCCCACACAGUGUUCUUCAAUGCCGUGCUCAUUGUGAGCUGCACUGACUGUCUGCAUAAGAAUCACUUGGAUACAUGUCAAAAAUACAUCCUAGGCUUACUAAAUCUGAAUUAGUAGGAACAGAGCUAGAAAUCUACAUCUUUUAACAAAGUCUCCAGGUGACUUUCAUGUAUUCAGAAGUUUGUGAAUGACUAAUCUACCAGGACUGGUAUCUUAUACAGUCAAUGUUUGUUUCUCUAUCAGAAUCUGGGAGGGCUUUCCACACGCCCACCUGAAGACCAUGUGUGACCACGCCCCCAGAGGAGCAUGCCUUCUCCCACUCCCCAAUCCCAUUGCUUAUGACUUCAUUCACAUUUAGAGCGUGGACAGUGAAUCCCCAAUGUCAUUUACACAGUGUUGUUCUUGUCAUGGUCUAAACCAGCUUACCCCACUGCCACAUUUAUCCAUCAGCCUAUGGGAAAAGGGAAAAAGGAUGUGGAAGUGAAGUGAUCUUUAAAAGCCAAGGAAAGGAAGACAGGAAAAAUGAAGAUAAAUCCCAAAAGAUCAAUAUUUACUUUUAGUCUGCAUUUAAGUGUGCAUCGUUGAGAGAAUCCACGGCAACUUUUAUUAAAGAUAGAAGUUGUACUUGCCAACACAUCAACAAUUUAUGUUUAGAAACAAGAUACUCAAUCUCAAGUUAUCUUCCCUCUUGCCAUGUUUGUGGACAUCCCCCCACUGCCCUUCAUCCUCAGAAAGGAACAGCCUCCUGUGGGUUGACUUGGUGAUAUCUGUCCAUAGAUAAUGUCUCCAGCCCCAGGCUCAUCACUCAGACAUCUGCCCUCAGGAGGACACGUUCAUCCCCAGCACCAGAGACAUGUCUGCCAAGGCUUUUGGAACUGAUUUUAUCCCCAUGCAAAAAGCUAGAUUCUAAUUCUGUCUGAUCACAAAAGGUUGAAUCAAAGCCCUACAACUGAGGUUCAUAGACCAAAACAAGAAAUACAUGGAAAAGUUGCCAAAGGAUUUUAGAAGAUCAGAGGCUGUAAUUCAUUAUAGAUGUGGAUCCUUUUGCUUUCCUCUAAGGAAAAAAAAUAUUCAAUUUUAUUAAGAAAAAAUUCCCACUAACUGUGGCCAUGUUCAAAGCACUCACAGAAAAUAUUUUGAACGCACAGGGUUUCGCUCAAGGAAGAAUAUUCAUCAUUUCAGGGUGGGGGAAAGGAGCUGGUCAUUCAUUUUCUCUCACCUUAUCCUAACAUUUAUAGUUAAAAAGGGAUGGAUUUGUCUUUGCCUAAUCUCCAUGACAAAGCAAUUCUUGCCUGACCUCUCAAAUUCUCCCCACUCCAGAGAUUGUAUGACCAGAAGGUGGGAUCAUAAAUUCCCAAGAGAUGACAAAGGUGAAAAUGGAAUCAACAAUCACUACCUAAAUUUUCAGGCUCUGAGACACCUUCCUAAACUAUAUGAAUAAGCCACAGCAAAAUGCUUAAAUCUCUCCAGCUAUUUUUUCUUUCAUUGAUAAGUUAUAUUUCUUUUUGAAGGAAAGAAAGUAUCUACCUCAGCUCUUAUUUGUUAAAACUUACAUAACAAAGACACUACAGGUGAAAACACAGCCACCAUCACUCUAUAUUAUUUUCUAAAAUGAUUUAUAACAUAACAUUCAGCAUAGAUAACAGUAAAAGUUUAAAGAGGAUCAUGAAAUACAAAAUAAAUCCAAUUUAAUAAAGUGAAAACAAAAUCAUUGUUCUUUUGUAAAUGUUGAUCACAAAGCUUAAAAAAUGUACUUGAAAUGAAAAGCUUCA
rnacentral:lncRNA from 1 species